AUUGAACGCUGGCGGCAUGCCUUACACAUGCAAGUCGAACGGCAGCACGGACUUCGGUCUGGUCGCGCGUGGCGAACGGGUGGGUAAUGAAACGGUACGUACCUUUCCUUUGGGGAUAACGUAGCGAAAGGUACGCGAAUACCGCAUAUUCUGAGAUCAGGAAAGCAGGGGAUCGAAAGACCUAGCGCGGUUUGAUCUCCCGAUAUCAGAUUAGCUAGUUGGUGGGGUAAAGGCCUACCAAGGCGACGAUCCGUAGCGGGUCUGAGAGGAUGAUCCGCCACACUGGAACUGAGACACGGUCCAGACUCCUACGGGAGGCAGCAGUAGGGAAUUUUGGGCAAUGGGCGCAAGCCUGAUCCAGCCAUGCCGCGUGAGUGAAGAAGGCCUUCGGGUUGUAAAGCUCUUUUAGCCGGGAAGAACACGCGUAGAAGUAUACCCGGAGUGGUUGACGGUACCGAAACAAGAAGCACCGGCUAACUACGUG
rnacentral:rRNA from 1 species